rnacentral:rRNA from 1 species
GACGAACGCUGGCGGCGUGCUUAACACAUGCAAGUCGAACGGUGAAGCCCUUCGGGGUGGAUCAGUGGCGAACGGGUGAGUAACACGUGAGCAACCUGCCCCUGGCUCUGGGACAACCACUGGAAACGGUGGCUAAUACCGGAUACGACCCGCCUCGGCUUCGAGUGUGGGUGGAAAGUUUUUCGGCUGGGGAUGGGCUCGCGUCCUAUCAGCUUGUUUGUGAGGUGUAGGCUCACCAAGGCGACGAAGGGUAGCCGGCCUGAGAGGGCGACCGGCCACACUGGGACUGAGACACGGACCAGAAUCCUACGGGAGGCAGCAGUGGGGAAUAUUGCACAAUGGGCGAAAGCAUGAUGCAGAGACGCCGCGUGAGGGAUGACGGCCUUCGGGUUGUAAACCUCUUUCAGCUCAGAAGAAGCGAAAGUGACGGUAGGAGCAGAAGAAGCACCGGCUAACUACGUG